rnacentral:tRNA from 1 species
GGGCCCGUGGUCUAGCGGUUAUGACGUCGCCUUUACACGGCGAAUGUCCUCGGUUCGAAUCCGGGCGGGCCCA